rnacentral:sRNA from 1 species
AUGUACCCCUGGUACCCGCCGGUUCCUCCGCGCCGCCCACAUCCACCUGGCCACUGCGCGCGACGUUGUAGUAGCC